rnacentral:rRNA from 1 species
GACGAACGCUGGCGGCGUGCUUAACACAUGCAAGUCGAACGGAAAGGCCCUGCUUUUGUUGGUUGCUCGAGUGGCGAACGGGUGAGUAACACGUGAGUAACCUGCCCUUGACUUUUGGAUAACUUCAGGAAACUGGGGCUAAUACCGGAUAUGCGCUCCUGCUGCAUGGUGGGGGUUGGAUAGUUUCGGCGGUUGGGGAUGGACUCGCGGCUUAUCAGCUUGUUGGUGGGGUAGUGGCUUACCAAGGCUUUGACGGGUAGCCGGCCUGAGAGGGUGACCGGCCACAUUGGGACUGAGAUACGGCCCGGACUCCUACGGGAGGCAGCAGUGGGGAAUAUUGCACAAUGGGCGGAAGCCUGAUGCAGCAACGCCGCGUGCGGGAUGACGGCCUUCGGGUUGUAACCCGCUUUCGCCUGUGACGAAGCGUGAGUGACGGUAAUGGGUAAAGAAGCACCGGCUAACUACGUG